GAGUUUGAUCGUGGCUCAGAUUGAACGCUGGCGGCAGGCCUAACACAUGCAAGUCGGGCGGUAGAGAGAAGCUUGCUUCUCUUGAGAGCGGCGGACGGGUGAGUAAUGCCUAGGAAUCUGCCUGGUAGUGGGGGAUAACGCUCGGAAACGGACGCUAAUACCGCAUACGUCCUACGGGAGAAAGCAGGGGACCUUCGGGCCUUGCGCUAUCAGAUGAGCCUAGGUCGGAUUAGCUAGUUGGUGAGGUAAUGGCUCACCAAGGCGACGAUCCGUAACUGGUCUGAGAGGAUGAUCAGUCACACUGGAACUGAGACACGGUCCAGACUCCUACGGGAGGCAGCAGUGGGGAAUAUUGGACAAUGGGCGAAAGCCUGAUCCAGCCAUGCCGCGUGUGUGAAGAAGGUCUUCGGAUUGUAAAGCACUUUAAGUUGGGAGGAAGGGCAGUAAAUUAAUACUUUACUGUUUUGACGUUACCGACAGAAUAAGCACCGGCUAACUCUGUGCCAGCAGCCGACGG
rnacentral:rRNA from 1 species